rnacentral:rRNA from 1 species
UACAGAGGGGGCAAGCGUUGUUCGGAAUUACUGGGCGUAAAGGGCGCGUAGGCGGCCUGUUAAGUCGAACGUGAAAUCCCCGGGCUCAACCCGGGAACUGCGUCCGAUACUGGCUGGCUUGAAUCCGGGAGAGGGAUGCGGAAUUCCAGGUGUAGCGGUGAAAUGCGUAGAUAUCUGGAGGAACACCGGUGGCGAAGGCGGCAUCCUGGACCGACACUGACGCUGAGGAGCGAAAGCCAGGGGAGCAAACGGG